rnacentral:rRNA from 1 species
AUGAACGCUGGCGGCGUGCUUAACACAUGCAAGUCGAACGAAGCACCUUGAUUCGAUUCUUCGGAUGAAGAUCUUGGUGACUGAGUGGCGGACGGGUGAGUAACGCGUGGGUAACCUGCCUCAUACAGGGGGAUAACAGUUAGAAAUGACUGCUAAUACCGCAUAAGACCACAGCACCGCAUGGUGCAGGGGUAAAAACUCCGGUGGUAUGAGAUGGACCCGCGUCUGAUUAGGUAGUUGGUGGGGUAACGGCCUACCAAGCCGACGAUCAGUAGCCGACCUGAGAGGGUGACCGGCCACAUUGGGACUGAGACACGGCCCAAACUCCUACGGGAGGCAGCAGUGGGGAAUAUUGCACAAUGGGGGAAACCCUGAUGCAGCGACGCCGCGUGAGCGAUGAAGUAUUUCGGUAUGUAAAGCUCUAUCAGCAGGGAAGAAAAUGACGGUACCUGACGAAGAAGCACCGGCUAAAUACGUG